rnacentral:rRNA from 1 species
UGGGGAAUAUUGGACAAUGGGCGCAAGCCUGAUCCAGCCAUGCCGCGUGAGUGACGAAGGUCUUCGGAUUGUAAAACUCUUUUGGCGGGGACGAUAAUGACGGUACCCGCAGAAUAAGCCCCGGCUAACUUCGUGCCAGCAGCCGCGGUAAUACGAAGGGGGCUAGCGUUGUUCGGAAUCACUGGGCGUAAAGCGCACGUAGGCGGAUGUGCCAGUCAGGGGUGAAAUCCCGGAGCUCAACUCCGGAACUGCCUCUGAUACUGCACGUCUUGAGUUCGAGAGAGGUGGGUGGAAUUCCUAGUGUAGAGGUGAAAUUCGUAGAUAUUAGGAAGAACACCGGUGGCGAAGGCGGCCCACUGGCUCGAUACUGACGCUGAGGUGCGAAAGCGUGGGGAGCAAACAGGAUUAGAUACCCGAGUAGUCCCUGAGCGGGCUGGCAAGGCGCAU